CCCUUAGAUGUUCUGGGCUGCACGCGUGCUACACUGAUUAUUUCAACAAGUGUUUUAACUGGAGAGUUCGCGUAAUCCUGAAAUGUUAUCGUGAUGGGAGUAGAGUAUUGUAUUUGUUAAUCUUUAACGAGGAAUUCCUAGUAAGUGUAGGUUUAUAAGUUGUUCUGAUUACGUCCCUGCCCUUUGUACACACCGCCCGUCGCUCCUACCGAUUGAUUGAUCCGGUGAAUUACAUAGAAUUUUGCGUUUUACAUGACGGAAGACGAAGUGUUUUAAACCUUAUCAUUUAGAGGAAGGAGAAGUCGUGACA
rnacentral:rRNA from 1 species